rnacentral:rRNA from 1 species
GACGAACGCUGGCGGCAUGCCUAAUACAUGCAAGUCGAGCGAACAGAUGAAGUGCUUGCACUUCUGACGUUAGCGGCGAACGGGUGAGUAACACGUAAGGAAUCUACCUAUAAGCGGGGGAUAACAUUCGGAAACGGGUGCUGAUACCGCAUAAUAUCUUCUUCCGCAUGGAAGAAGAUUGAAAGACGGCUCUGCUGUCACUUAUAGAUGACCUUGCGGUGCAUUAGUUAGUUGGUGGGGUAAUGGCCUACCAAGACGAUGAUGCAUAGCCGACCUGAGAGGGUGAUCGGCCACAUUGGGACUGAGACACGGCCCAAACUCCUACGGGAGGCAGCAGUAGGGAAUCUUCCGCAAUGGGCGAAAGCCUGACGGAGCAAUGCCGCGUGAGUGAAGAAGGCCUUCGGGUCGUAAAACUCUGUUAUAAGAGAAGAACAAA